AUGAACGCUAGCUACAGGCUUAACACAUGCAAGUCGAGGGGCAGCAUGGUCUUAGCUUGCUAAGGCCGAUGGCGACCGGCGCACGGGUGAGUAACACGUAUCCAACCUGCCGUCUACUCUUGGACAGCCUUCUGAAAGGAAGAUUAAUACAAGAUGGCAUCAUGAGUCCGCAUGUUCACAUGAUUAAAGGUAUUCCGGUAGACGAUGGGGAUGCGUUCCAUUAGAUAGUAGGCGGGGUAACGGCCCACCUAGUCUUCGAUGGAUAGGGGUUCUGAGAGGAAGGUCCCCCACAUUGGAACUGAGACACGGUCCAAACUCCUACGGGAGGCAGCAGUGAGGAAUAUUGGUCAAUGGGCGAGAGCCUGAACCAGCCAAGUAGCGUGAAGGAUGACUGCCCUAUGGGUUGUAGACUUCUUUUAUAAAGGAAUAAAGUCGGGUAUGGAUACCCGUUUGCAUGUACUUUAUGAAUAAGGAUCGGCUAACUCCGUGCCAGCAGCCGCGGUAAUACGGAGGAUCCGAGCGUUAUCCGGAUUUAUUGGGUUUAAAGGGAGCGUAGAUGGAUGUUUAAGUCAGUUGUGAAAGUUUGCGGCUCAACCGUAAAAUUGCAGUUGAUACUGGAUAUCUUGAGUGCAGUUGAGGCAGGCGGAAUUCGUGGUGUAGCGGUGAAAUGCUUAGAUAUCACGAAGAACUCCGAUUGCGAAGGCAGCCUGCUAAGCUGCAACUGACAUUGAGGCUCGAAAGUGUGGGUAUCAAACAGGAUUAGAUACCCUGGUAGUCCACACGGUAAACGAUGAAUACUCGCUGUUUGCGAUAUACUGCAAGCGGCCAAGCGAAAGCGUUAAGUAUUCCACCUGGGGAGUACGCCGGCAACGGUGAAACUCAAAGGAAUUGACGGGGGCCCGCACAAGCGGAGGAACAUGUGGUUUAAUUCGAUGAUACGCGAGGAACCUUACCCGGGCUUAAAUUGCAGAUGAAUUACGGUGAAAGCCGUAAGCCGCAAGGCAUCUGUGAAGGUGCUGCAUGGUUGUCGUCAGCUCGUGCCGUGAGGUGUCGGCUUAAGUGCCAUAACGAGCGCAACCCUUGUUGUCAGUUACUAACAGGUUCCGCUGAGGACUCUGACAAGACUGCCAUCGUAAGAUGUGAGGAAGGUGGGGAUGACGUCAAAUCAGCACGGCCCUUACGUCCGGGGCUACACACGUGUUACAAUGGGGGGUACAGAGGGCCGCUACCACGCGAGUGGAUGCCAAUCCCCAAAACCUCUCUCAGUUCGGACUGGAGUCUGCAACCCGACUCCACGAAGCUGGAUUCGCUAGUAAUCGCGCAUCAGCCACGGCGCGGUGAAUACGUUCCCGGGCCUUGUACACACCGCCCGUCAAGCCAUGGGAGCCGGGGGUACCUGAAGUGCGUAACCGCGAGGAGCGCCCUAGGGUAAAACUGGUGACUGGGGCU
rnacentral:rRNA from 1 species